UACAGAGGUCUCAAGCGUUGUUCGGAAUCACUGGGCGUAAAGGGUGCGUAGGCCGCACGGUAAGUCAGAGGUGAAAUCCCGGAGCUCAACUUCGGAAUGGCCUCCGAUACUGCCGUGCUUGAGGACUGGAGAGGAGUCUGGAAUUCACAGUGGAGCAGUGAAAUGCGUAGAUAUUGUGAGGAACACUAGUGGCGAAGGCGAAUCUCUGGACAGUUCCUGACGCUGAGGCACGAAGGCCAGGGGAGCAAACGGG
rnacentral:rRNA from 1 species